AUUGAACGCUGGCGGCAGGCCUAACACAUGCAAGUCGAACGGUAGCAGGACACAGCUUGCUGUUUCGCUGACGAGUGGCGGACGGGUGAGUAAUGUCUGGGAAACUGCCUGAUGGAGGGGGAUAACUACUGGAAACGGUAGCUAAUACCGCAUAACGUCGCAAGACCAAAGAGGGGGACCCUCGGGCCUCUUGCCAUCGGAUGUGCCCAGAUGGGAUUAGCUUGUUGGUGGGGUAACGGCUCACCAAGGCGACGAUCCCUAGCUGGUCUGAGAGGAUGACCAGCCACACUGGAACUGAGACACGGUCCAGACUCCUACGGGAGGCAGCAGUGGGGAAUAUUGCACAAUGGGCGCAAGCCUGAUGCAGCCAUGCCGCGUGUAUGAAGAAGGCCUUCGGGUUGUAAAGUACUUUCAGCGGGGAGGAAGGGAGUAAAGUUAAUACCUUUGCUCAUUGACGUUACCCGCAGAAGAAGCACCGGCUAACUCCGUG
rnacentral:rRNA from 1 species